GGAAGUAAAAGUCGUAACAAGGGUUCCCGUAGGUGAACCUGCGGAAGGAUCAUUAUU
rnacentral:rRNA from 1 species